GGAAUAUUGGACAAUGGGCGCAAGCCUGAUCCAGCCAUGCCGCGUGAGUGAUGAAGGCCCUAGGGUUGUAAAGCUCUUUCAGCGGUGAAGAUAAUGCCGGUAACCGGAGAAGAAGCCCCGGCUAACUUCGUGCCAGCAUCCUCGGUAAUACGAAGGGGGCUAGCGUUGUUCGGAUUUACUGGGCGUAAAGCGCACGUAGCCGGCCUUUUAAGUCAGGGGUGAAAUCCCGGGGCUCAACCCCGGAUCUGCCUUUGAUACUGGAAGUCUUGAGUAUGGUAUAGGUUAGUGGAAUUCCGAGUGUAGAGGUGAAAUUCGUAGAUAUUCG
rnacentral:rRNA from 1 species